AAAAAUACACAAAUAAUUUUGCAGACGAAAAAUAAUUUUUGAAAAAUAUUAAAACUUGGCAACGCCGCGGUGAGGUGCAAUAGAUUUUACCUUAUUGUUAUUGCUAAAGUGUAUUUCUACAUUUUCCACAAAAUUCAAAAGUUAAUUUCUGUUUUCUGUUUUGUUUCAUAGUUUUGUUCACAGUUACUUACUUGCUAUGCUAAACAUUUCAUUUUCAUAACCCAAGAUAAAUGCAUCACUGACAACCUGCAGCAGAAUGUAAGCACAGUUUAAAUUGGCUAGGAAGAAGCAGGACAAUAUUAAGGUGAAGCGGUCACGUAGAGGGAAAAACUUGUCGAGUCUGUUGCAGAAAAAGGGCAUGGUAUAGGCGAUCGUAUGAAAACUGAUCGUUGAAAUUCUCUACAAGAGAGGCGAUUAUAUAGCCUACAGCUGCAGUUCACGUGCGCCAGCGUUUACAUCAGAGGAAAAUGCAUCCGACAUUGAAGAUCGCCAAAUCUUCCCAACCAAUUUAGCCGAUUGAAUUGCACUUGGAGGUACACGAUAAGCGUACAUUCUUGCCUUUUCCGUGGAACGCAUUUUACUAUUAGCCGAGAGCUCCAGUUCUAGCUCAUACGAAUAAGGUCGAACUAUCAACAGGCAGCAGUCCAUCGCCAAUAAUACUGUGGCAGCACCCAAUGAAAAUGUUGAAGAAGAAAACAAUCAGCCAUCAGAAGGCCGUUUGUCCCUCGUACAUGGAGACCCUUCGGCGGCCUGGCUAAUCGAAUUUCAAUUACCUACAACCCUAAUAUGGGAAAUUCUUUCGAGACCUUUGAUUCCUGUACUUCACCUUGUCCCAGUGGUGAUGCGGGAAUCUGUGUACCAGGAUCCGUUUGUUCCCUUUUUGGUGGUCGGCCAAGUGAGUCUUGCCCUUUAGGCAAAAUUUGUUGCAUCAAUACGGUCAACAAAUGUCACACUCAAUAACACGUAUUGGCAUUCUCCAACCACGCCCAUAUCUGAUUACUCAACUUGCGCACUGACCGUGAGAACAGAUUACAAGCUCGCGGAACAAAUGAAAAACCCAAUUUGUCAAA